UACGGAGGGUGCAAGGGUUGUCCGGAAUCACUGGGCGUAAAGGGCGCGUAGGCGGCUCAUGAAGGCUGUGGUGAAAGUCCGGGGCUCAACCUCGGAUCGGCCGUGGCGACUCGUGGGCUGGAGCACUGUAGAGGCGGGUGGAAUUCCGGGUGUAGCGGUGGAAUGCGUAGAGAUCCGGAAGAACACCAGUGGCGAAGGCGGCCCGCUGGGCAGUGGCUGACGCUGAGGCGCGACAGCGUGGGGAGCAAACAGG
rnacentral:rRNA from 1 species